UAGGAUGUCGUCUAAUGGCAAGACGUCACUUUUUUGGUAGUGAUAAUGAUUGUUCGAUUCAAUCCAUCCUAG
rnacentral:tRNA from 1 species